AACGAACGCUGGCGGCAUGCCUAACACAUGCCAGUCGAACGAGACCUUCGGGUCUAGUGGCGCACGGGUGCGUAACGCGUGGAACCUGCCCUUAGGUUCGGAAUAACUCCCCGAAAGGGGUGCUAAUACCGGAUAAUGUCUUCGGACCAAAGAUUUAUCGCCUUUGGAUGGGCCCGCGUUGGAUUAGCUAGUUGGUAGGGUAAAAGCCUACCAAGGCGACGAUCCAUAGCUGGUCUGAGAGGAUGAUCAGCCACACUGGGACUGAGACACGGCCCAGACUCCUACGGGAGGGAGCAGUGGGGAAUAUUGGACAAUGGGCGAAAGCCUGAUCCAGCAAUGCCGCGUGAGUGAUGAAGGCCUUAGGGUUGUAAAGCUCUUUUACCCGGGAUGAUAAUGACAGUACCGGGAGAAUAAGCGCCGGCUAACUCCGUG
rnacentral:rRNA from 1 species